UAAGAUCAGAUUGACCCGGCGUUAAUCCUGUCCAUCACACAAGUAAACACUAGAGCAGUAACGACAUGAAUCACCAAGCAUGCAUCGAUCUAGCUAGUAUAAUAUUAUCCAUUGACAACGAUUGCAUCAAGUGACGGAGAUCUUACAUGACUGUAUACUUAUAUGGCAACUAAGUAGCACUAGGAGCUACAUAUGAGAGACGCCCUAUAUGUAAACCCCUAAACCCCUAAAAGCUAGCUGAUAUCUUUCUUGAUGCUACCUAAAUAAAACCAACUAAAACGAAACUACAUAAUCCUGACGAAACCAUCAGCGAUGGGUGCAUCCUCUUGCUCCUAUGGUGAUGGUGAUGGGGCGGGGGAAGN
rnacentral:lncRNA from 1 species